rnacentral:rRNA from 1 species
CGGAUGAACGCUAGCGACAGGCUUAACACAUGCAAGUCGAGGGCAGCAUAAAAGUAGCAAUACGUUUGGUGGCGACCGGCGCACGGGUGAGUAACGCGUAUGCAACCUACCUAUCAGGAGGGGACUAACCCGGCGAAAGUCGGACUAAUACCGCAUAAAACAGGGGCACCGCAUGGUGAUAUUUGUUAAAAAUUUAUUGCUGAUAGAUGGGCAUGCGUUCCAUUAGGUAGUUGGAGAGGUAACGGCUCACCAAGACAUCGAUCAUUAGGGGUUCUGAGAGGAAGGUCCCCCACACUGGUACUGAGACACGGACCAGACUCCUACGGGAGGCAGCAGUGAGGAAUAUUGGUCAAUGGGCGAGAGCCUGAACCAGCCAAGUCGCGUGAAGGAAGACGGUUCUAUGGAUUGUAAACUUCUUUUGUAAGGGAAUAAAGUUCACUACGUGUAGUGUUUUGUAUGUACUGUAUGAAUAAGGAUCGGCUAACUCCGUG